rnacentral:rRNA from 1 species
UACGGGGGGGGCGAGCGUUAUUCGGAAUUAUUGGGCGUAAAGGGCGCGUAGGCGGCCGCGUAAGUCAAAGGUGAAAUCCUGGAGCUCAACUCCAGAACUGCCUUUGAUACUGAAGAUCUUGAGUUCGGGAGAGGUGAGUGGAACUGCGAGUGUAGAGGUGAAAUUCGUAGAUAUUCGCAAGAACACCAGUGGCGAAGGCGGCUCACUGGCCCGAUACUGACGCUGAGGCACGAAAGCGUGGGGAGCAAACAGG